GUCCAGACUCCUACGGGAGGCAGCAGUGGGGAAUAUUGCACAAUGGGGGAAACCCUGAUGCAGCGACGCCGCGUGAGCGAUGAAGUAUUUCGGUAUGUAAAGCUCUAUCAGCAGGGAAGAAGAUGACGGUACCUGACUAAGAAGCCCCGGCUAACUACGUGCCAGCAGCCGCGGUAAUACGUAGGGGGCAAGCGUUAUCCGGAUUUACUGGGUGUAAAGGGAGCGUAGACGGCGAUGCAAGCCAGAUGUGAAAGCCCGGGGCUCAACCCCGGGACUGCAUUUGGAACUGUGUGGCUGGAGUGUCGGAGAGGCAGGCGGAAUUCCUAGUGUAGCGGUGAAAUGCGUAGAUAUUAGGAGGAACACCAGUGGCGAAGGCGGCCUGCUGGACGAUGACUGACGUUGAGGCUCGAAAGCGUGGGGAGCAAACAGGAUUAGAUACCCCAGUAA
rnacentral:rRNA from 1 species